UGGAUCAAAAAAGCUAAGGGCCUGGAA
rnacentral:piRNA from 1 species